GACGAACGCUGGCGGCGUGCUUAACACAUGCAAGUCGAACGGUGAAGCGCCUUCCUUUUUGGUGGGUGUGGAUGAGUGGCGAACGGGUGAGUAACACGUGAGUAACCUGCCCCCUUCUUCUGGAUAACCGCAUGAAAGUGUGGCUAAUACGGGAUAUUCUGGGUCUGUCGCAUGAUGGGUCUGUGAAAGAUCUUGUUUCGGUGGGGGAUGGGCUCGCGGCCUAUCAGCUUGUUGGUGGGGUGAUGGCCUACCAAGGCGGUGACGGGUAGCCGGCCUGAGAGGGUGGACGGUCACACUGGGACUGAGACACGGCCCAGACUCCUACGGGAGGCAGCAGUGGGGAAUAUUGCACAAUGGGCGCAAGCCUGAUGCAGCGACGCCGCGUGAGGGAUGGAGGCCUGCGGGUUGUGAACCUCUUUCGCCAGUGAAGCAGGCCUGCCUCGUUUGUGGGUGGGUUGACGGUAGCUGGAGAAGAAGCGCCGGCUAACUACGUG
rnacentral:rRNA from 1 species